GAGUUUGAUCCUGGCUCAGGACGAACGCUGGCGGCGUGCCUAACACAUGCAAGUCUAGGAGAAGGCUCCUUUCGGGGGGCUUGAAACUGGCGAACGGGUGAGUAACGCGUAGAUAAUCUGCCCUAAUCCCUGGCAUAACGUCGAGAAAUCGGCGCUAAUAUCAGAUGAGGUGUUUACAUCAAAGGGCGACCGGAUUAGGAUGAGUCUGCGUCUGAUUAGCUAGUUGGUAGUGUAAUGGACUACCAAGGCGACGAUCAGUAGCUGGUCUGAGAGGAUGGUCAGCCACACUGGAACUGAGACACGGUCCAGACUCCUACGGGAGGCAGCAGUGAGGAAUAUUGGUCAAUGGGGGAAACCCUGAACCAGCGACGCCGCGUGUGGGACGAAGGAGCUUUGCUCUGUAAACCACUGUCGGAAGGGAAGAAAAGCAGCUUUGAGCUGCCGGGACUGUACCUUCGGAGGAAGGAUCGGCUAACUACGUGCCAGCAGCCGCGGUAAUACGUAGGAUCCGAGCGUUGUCCGGAAUCACUGGGUGUAAAGGGUGCGCAGGCGGAUUUGAACGUCAGAGGUUAAAUGUCACCGCUCAACGGUGAACCUGCCUUUGAAACGGCAAGUCUUGAGUAUGAGAGAGGUAAGUAGAAUUCCUGGUGUAGCGGUGAAAUGCGUAGAUAUCAGGAGGAAUACCAGUGGCGAAGGCGGCUUACUGGCUCAUAACUGACGCUCAGGCACGAAAGCGCGGGUAGCAAACAGGAUUAGAUACCCUGGUAGUCCGCGCCCUAAACGAUGUAUGCUUGGUGUUGGGAGUCUGACUCUCAGUGCCGGAGGAAACCCGUUAAGCAUACCACCUGGGGAGUACGAUCGCAAGGUUGAAACUCAAAGGAAUUGACGGGGGCCCGCACAAGCGGUGGAUCAUGUGGUUUAAUUCGAUGCAACGCGAAGAACCUUACCUGGGCUUGAAGUGUGGGAAGUAUUGACUGGAAACAGAAUAGACCUGUAAAAUCAGGAACCUACAGAGGUGCUGCAUGGCUGUCGUCAGCUCGUGCCGUGAGGUGUUGGGUUAAGUCCCGCAACGAGCGCAACCCCUAUCCUUAGUUGCCAUCGGGUUAUGCCGGGCACUCUAAGGAGACUGCCUACGCAAGUAGAGAGGAAGGUGGGGAUGACGUCAAGUCAUCAUGGCCCUUAUGUCCAGGGCUACACACGUGAUACAAUGGACGGUACAAUGGGCAAAGCCGCGAGGUGGAGGAAAUCCCAAAAACCGUUCUCAGUUCGGAUUGUAGUCUGCAACUCGACUGCAUGAAGCUGGAAUCGCUAGUAAUCGUAGAUCAGCUCGCUACGGUGAAUACGUUCCCGGGCCUUGUACACACCGCCCGUCAAGCCAUGGAAGCUGGGGGCGCCCGAAGACGGCAGCAAUGUCGUUUAAGGCGAACUUAGUAACUGGGGCUAAGUCGUAACAAGGUAACCGUA
rnacentral:rRNA from 1 species